CUGUUUCCUGGCAACCAGCUCACUACUCCCUGAAGGGCACUUUCAAGAAAGUUCAAUCAAUGGAAGGGUCAAAUGUUUUCUUUUUCAAACGUCCAUUUUGCAUGUAAUGGCUGCUCCAUGCAGAGUUUACGGGUGUUCUCUUGUUCAUGAGAUCUAGCGUCCUUCUGCACAAAUGCAUGUGCUAUGGGUAACAAGAAGCCACAUCCUGAUUCGCAUCCUCCUCCCGAAACCCUGCAACUUCCUGAAUUCCCGUGCUCCUCAGGCGGGACUUCCUGUUGGAGAUGGAGCUAAAGAAGCUGAAAAACUCCUCCAUCCUUCCUAAGAUAGAUCUCAUUUAUGCAUGAGGUCAGACAAAUUUCCCUAAUGCUGCCCUUGAGGGGAUAUCCGGGGAUAACAAAGGCUGUCUUCCAUGCCUCUCCCCGAAUCGAGAUGUAAACCAGAAAACAUAAAAUAAAAAGCCAAAAAUCAUUCCAAAAAGUCGACAUUAAAUUGACAAAAAGACCCCGU
ensembl:lncRNA